GACAGAGGGUGCAAACGUUGCUCGGAAUCACUGGGCGUAAAGGGCGUGUAGGCGGGAAGGAAAGUCGGGCGUGAAAUCCCUGGGCUCAACCCAGGAACUGCACUCGAAACUUCUUUUCUUGAGUGUCGGAGAGGAAAGCGGAAUUCCUGGUGUAGAGGUGAAAUUCGUAGAUAUCAGGAGGAACACCAGUGGCGAAGGCGGCUUUCUGGACGAUAACUGACGCUGAGACGCGAAAGCGUGGGGAGCAAACAGG
rnacentral:rRNA from 1 species